AGCGAACGCUGGCGGCAUGCUUAACACAUGCAAGUCGCACGGGCAGUAGCAAUACUGUCAGUGGCGGACGGGUGAGUAACGCGUAGGAAUCUAUCCUUGGAAUGGGGGACAACCGUGGGAAACUACGGCUAAUACCGCAUGAUGCCUGAGGGCCAAAGACGAAAGUCGUUUGAGGAGGAGCCUGCGUCUGAUUAGGUAGUUGGUGGGGUAAAGGCCUACCAAGCCCUACGAUCAGUAGCUGGUCUGAGAGGAUGAUCAGCCACAUUGGGACUGAGACACGGCCCAAACUCCUACGGGAGGCAGCAGUGGGGAAUAUUGGACAAUGGGCGCAAGCCUGAUCCAGCAAUGCCGCGUGGGUGAAGAAGGUCUUCGGAUUGUAAAGCCCUUUUGGCGGGGACGAUGAUGACGGUACCCGCAGAAUAAGCUCCGGCUAACUUCGUG
rnacentral:rRNA from 1 species